rnacentral:rRNA from 1 species
CUGGUGCCAGCAGCCGCGGUAAUUCCAGCUCCAAUAGCGUAUAUUAAAAUUGUUGCAGUUAAAAAGCUCGUAGUUGAAUUUCUGCUGCAUUGCUUGUGUCCCUCUGGGGUCUGUGCAUGUGGCUUUUUUCGGACGGAGUUUCUUUGUCUGAAUGUUUACUUUGAGAAAAUUAGAGUGCUCAAAGCAGGCUUUCGCCUUGAAUAGUUUAGCAUGGAAUAAUAAAGUAGGACUUUGGUUCUAUUUUGUUGGUUUUAGGUACCAAAGUAAUGGUUAAUAGGAACAGUUGGGG